CUCCAAUAAAAUCACUCGCCCCGCCUCUACAUCCCUAAUUUUUCUUUUCUCCCUCAACAAAUAUCGUCGAUCGUCCAUGCGCAACCUUCCGCCCACCCUCGACAUCCUUUUGCACCAUCUCCCACUAGUGCCAUCUGCCCCUCCGUCUGCCCCGCCAUCUGUCCCUCCGUCUGCCUCGCCGUCUGUCCACUGCCUGCCCCGUCGUUUGUCACGCCGAGGUCCUUAUUCUUUCCUCUUCCACGGUCUCGUGAUCGGAAGCCCUAGGUUUUUCUUGAUUUUGAAGAAAGAGUGGAUUUUACUUUAAGGUUCAUUGACACAAAAGUUCACCAGCAACAAUACAAUAGCAGUUUCCCAAAGAAAAGAAAAGGGGCAAUCUCCAUCACGAGUUGAAUUAUUCCAUGUUUGCUUCACUCAUGCUAAUCGAAGCCCCUCAAGCAACAUUGUGGCAGAAAAAUCGAUUGGAUGUUUUAUCUUGAUAAAAAGUCUAUUUGAUUCUACGGAAAUUGUGGAAAAAGGGGUUGUUCGUAGCAUGGACUAGAAUAUUGAAGUAGGAAGUCAGGUGUUGAGACCAAAUUGGUGUGAAAUACAAGUUUUAGUUGUCCUAGAAUGAGAAGAGUGCUUGAUUAGACCAUAUGAUCUUUUAUAAAGGUUUAAGGAUGCACUUGGAGGAAUGAUAGCUUGGCCUUGUUAUCUGUUAAUGAAGAAGACUUCUCCACUAAGUACAUUUGGAGUUUUGUGGCACAAUAGCAAGGUGAAGAAUAUUGGAUUUUGUUUAAGAUGUGAUGGUUGAAGAAUGAAGAUGCACCACAAGUUUGGUUAUAUUUUUCUUUACGAGACUUAAUUUUUUGUUAGUUCUUAAACUAAAUACAUUGGGUAUAGUUGUAAUUGGUAUAUGAUAUCUAUUUUUUGAGGUGACAGACUUAUCACCCUUGCGGAUUACAAAAUUAAUGACAAUUAUUGAUUAGCACUUUAA